rnacentral:rRNA from 1 species
CCUACGGGCGGCAGCAGUGAGGAAUAUUGGUCAAUGGACGAGAGUCUGAACCAGCCAAGUAGCGUGAAGGAUGACUGCCCUAUGGGUUGUAAACUUCUUUUAUAUGGGAAUAAAAUGUUCCACGUGUGGGAUUUUGUAUGUACCAUAUGAAUAAGGAUCGGCUAACUCCGUGCCAGCAGCCGCGGUAAUACGGAGGAUCCGAGCGUUAUCCGGAUUUAUUGGGUUUAAGGGGAGCGUAGGUGGAUUGUUAAGUCAGUUGUGAAAGUUUGCGGCUCAACCGUAAAAUUGCAGUUGAAACUGGCAGUCUUGAGUACAGUAGAGGUGGGCGGAAUUCGUGGUGUAGCGGUGAAAUGCUUAGAUAUCACGAAGAACUCCGAUUGCGAAGGCAGUUCACUGGACUGCAACUGACACUGAGGCUCGAAAGUGUGGGUAUCAAACAGGAUUAGAUACCCUUGUAGUC